rnacentral:rRNA from 1 species
UACGAAGGUCCCGAGCGUUGUUCGGAAUCACUGGGCGUAAAGGGAGCGUAGGCGGUGCGGUAAGUCAGAUGUGAAAUCCCGGGGCUCAACCCCGGAACUGCAUCCGAUACUGCCGUGCUAGAGGAUUGGAGAGGUAGCUGGAAUUCUUGGUGUAGCAGUGAAAUGCGUGGAGAUCAAGAGGAACACUCGUGGCGAAAGCGAGCUACUGGACAAUAUCUGACGCUGAGGCUCGAAGGCCAGGGUAGCGAAAGGG